rnacentral:rRNA from 1 species
UGAACGAGAACCAAGGGGCUUGCUCUUUGGGGAAAGUGGCGCACGGGUGAGUAACGCGUGGAUAACGUGCCCUAGGGUUGGGAAUAACCCACCGAAAGGUGGACUAAUACCGGAUGUGUUCCAAGAAAGUGCGCUUUUUUGGAAGAAAGCGGGGUAACCCGCGCCCAAGGAUCGGUCCGCGUUCCAUCAGCUAGUUGGUGAGGUAAUGGCUCACCAAGGCUACGACGGAUAGCUGGUCUGAGAGGAUGAUCAGCCACACUGGGACUGAGACACGGCCCAGACUCCUACGGGAGGCAGCAGUGGGGAGUAUUGGUCAAUGGGCGAAAGCCUGAACCAGCAAUGCCGCGUGAGUGAUGAAGGCCUUCGGGUUGUAAAGCUCUGUCAGCGGGAACGAAUAAGCCGAUUAAUACCCGGUGAUGACGGUACCCGCGAAGGAAGCACCGGCUAACUCUGUGCCAGCAGCCGCGGUAAUACAGAGGGUGCAAGCGUUGUUCGGAAUUACUGGGCGUAAAGCGCGUGUAGGCGGUUUGGUAAGUCGGUUGUGAAAUCCCUUGGCUCAACCAAGGAACUGCAUCCGAAACUGCCAAGCUAGAGUAUCGGAGGGGUUGGCGGAAUUCCCGGUGUAGAGGUGAAAUUCGUAGAUAUCGGGAGGAACACCCGUGGCGAAGGCGGCCAUCUGGAAGAUUACUGACGCUGAGACGCGA